UUCAUGGAGAGUUUGAUCCUGGCUCAGGACGAACGCUGGCGGCGUGCCUAAUACAUGCAAGUCGAGCGGACUUGAUGAGGAGCUUGCUCCUCUGA
rnacentral:rRNA from 1 species